rnacentral:rRNA from 1 species
CCUACGGGUGGCUGCAGUGGGGGAUAUUGCACAAUGGGGGGAACCCUGAUGCAGCGACGCCGCGUGGGUGAAGAAGCGCCUCGGCGCGUAAAGCCCUGUCAGCAGGGAAGAAAAUGACGGUACCUGAAGAAGAAGCCCCGGCUAACUACGUGCCAGCAGCCGCGGUAAUACGUAGGAUGCAAGCGUUAUCCGGAUUUACUGGACGUAAAACGAGCGCAGGCGGGUUAACAAGUUUGGUAUGAAAGGCUUUUGCUUAACGAAAGUUUGUAUCAAAAACUGUUAAUCUAGAGUGUAGUAGAGAGUUCUGGAAUUCCAUGUGGAGCGGUGGAAUGCGUAGAUAUAUGGAAGAACACCAGUGGCGAAGGCGAGAACUUAGGCUAUCACUGACGCUUAGGCUCGAAAGUGUGGGGAGCAAAUAGGAUUAGAUACCCCAGUAGUC